GCCGGACUGAACACCACAUAAAAUUUAUUUAACUCCUGAAAAGAAUGAAUAAUAAAGUAAGAAACUACAAAAUCAUUCUCUCAAAAACAUAAACCCUCCAUCCCUCAAAAUGCCUAAACCUAAUUUCAUUUGAGAAACGUAGAAGUCUAUUCAGACCCAUCACCGGCGGUCCUUUUGGUAGGGCUUCCCUCUAUUCUCUUCGUCUCCAUGGUUGUACCCUUUCGCUGUUUCUGGACCUAGCAGAAAACGCAUCACUGGAAAACUUGGUUUCUAUUAGCGAAAUGUGAGUUUCUGACCUAUCCAUGUUCUCCGGUGUGUACACUUGAUCGGGUGCCCUAGAACUGCCCGAGAUCCUAUCUUGCAUACCAAAAUUAAUUUCCCGGAGACUGUCAAUGCUUGGUAAUUUUUUAAAGCUAUUUUCAUCAUUUCCACGCCAUUAAGGCUACUAACUGAGGAAUUUAGCUACAAUAUUAUGGAUGGGAUAUCAAUUGAUAGACCACUUCGAUUUAUAGCAACAAGCCAUGAACUUUGAUGCUCUGUGUGCUAAGCUCUAGCUUCUACCUCGGUGAUUUUUGAUUUUGUCAGUUUUAGGAUCAAACCUGAGUUCCCAUCUUGGCCAGUAGUGCAAAUCUUUCUACAAUGUGAGCACUCAAGGCUUCCCAUUCAGGUGGACUAUUCGUACACGAACAAACUCUCCAUUCUCUAUUGCUGCUAGUAAGGAACUUUAUUGAAAUUCAGUUUAUAGAGGAUAGCACAAACUCUCCAUUCUCUAUUGCUGCUGGUAAGGAACUUAUUGA